rnacentral:rRNA from 1 species
AGUGAGCGGCAAAAGCUCAAAUUUGAAAUCGGCCUCCAGGUCGAGUUGUAAUUUGUAGAUUGUACUUUGAGAGCGGAUUAAAGUCUGUUGGAACACAGCGCCUUAGAGGGUGACAGCCCCGUAAAAUCUAUUCUCAUUGUAAGGUACUUUCGAAGAGUCGAGUUGUUUGGGAAUGCAGCUCUAAGUGGGAGGUAAAUUCCUUCUAAAGCUAAAUAUUGACGAGAGACCGAUAGCGAACAAGUACUGUGAAGGAAAGAUGAAAAGCACUUUGAAAAGAGAGUGAAAAAGUACGUGAAAUUGUUAAAAGGGAAGGGUAUUGAAUCAGACGUGGUGCUGUUGUUCAACUUUGUUUCGGCAUGGUGUACUCAGCAGUUACUAAGCCAAGGUGGGGUGUUUGGGAGUGAAAAAGGAAUAG